rnacentral:misc_RNA from 1 species
UGCGGCUGGAUCCCCUCCUUUCUAAGGAGCACCUGGCCGCCUCGGCGGUCCAGAACUCAGGCCUGAGACGUUCGCUCUCAGGGUGAGGCUCAAGGGUGGAACACUGACUAGUAGGCGGCGACCUCGUCGCGCAUCGUUUAGUACAGAGCUUCGGCUCAGGAACGAGAUGCGCAACGGGCGGGAGCCGCCCAGGCGCGCUGUUGGGUCCUGAGGGAUCGGACCGGCGCUCGAGGACACGUCGUCAGACGUGACCCCGGGCGCCGAACGUCUCUCAGCGGACCGAUCCGCCUCGAACCACCUGCUCUGCAGCAGGCCGGCGAGGACCACGGAUCAGGGACCGCCCGUUUCUUGAGAACUGCACAGUGGACGCGAGCAUCUUUGUGGCCAAGUUAGUAAGGGCGCACGGUGGAUGCCUUGGCACCAGGAGCCGAUGAAGGACGUAGGAGGCUGCGAUAAGCCUCGGGGAGCUGCCAACCGAGCUGUGAUCCGAGGAUUUCCGAAUGGGGAAACCCGG